rnacentral:rRNA from 1 species
UUUGAUCCUGGUUCAGGAUGAACGCUGGCGGCGUGCCUAAUACAUGCAAGUCGAGCGAACGUCAUAGAAGCUUGUUUCUAUGACCUUAGCGGCGGACGGGUGAGUAACACGUGGCCAACCUGCCUGUAAGAUUGGGAUAACUUCGGGAAACCGAAGCUAAUACCGGAUAGUUUCUUCUCCUUCAUGGGAGAUGAUUGAAAGAUGGUUUCGGCUAUCACUUUCAGAUGGGCCCGCGGUGCAUUAGCUAGUUGGUGAGGUAACGGCUCACCAAGGCAACGAUGCAUAGCCGACCUGAGAGGGUGAUCGGCCACACUGGGACUGAGACACGGCCCAGACUCCUACGGGAGGCAGCAGUAGGGAAUCUUCCGCAAUGGACUAAAGUCUGACGGAGCAACGCCGCGUGAGUGAUGAAGGCUUUCGGGUCGUAAAACUCUGUUGUUAGGGAAGAACAAGUACGAGAGUAACUGCUCGUACCUUGACGGUACCUAACCAGAAAGCCACGGCUAACUACGUGCCAGCAGCCGCGGUAAUACGUAUGUGGCAAGCGUUAUCCGGAAUUAUUGGGCGUAAAGCGCGCGCAGGCGGUUUCUUAAGUCUGAUGUGAAAGCCCACGGCUCAACCGUGG